rnacentral:rRNA from 1 species
UACGUAGGGUGCGAGCGUUAAUCGGAAUUACUGGGCGUAAAGCGUGCGCAGGCGGUUCGUCGUGUCCGAUGUGAAAGCCCCGGGCUCAACCUGGGAAUGGCAUUGAAAACUGGCGGGCUUGAGUGUGGCAGAGGGGGGUGGAAUUCCGCGUGUAGCAGUGAAAUGCGCAGAUAUCAGGAGGAACACCGGUGGCGAAGGCGGGUCUCUGGGCAACAACUGACGCUGAGGAGCGAAAGCGUGGGGAGCGAACAGG